AAAACGUCAGCUCACCCAGCUCAUGGGGGCUCCCAUCCACAGUGCACCGCCGAGGGUCUGGAGCCCCUUCCCCAUCCUCUCCUGAGCCCAGGAAAUCAAACUCAUUGAUAGCAUCCUCAGAGUCGUCUUCCUCAUCCUCGUCUUCCAUUUCAGGCACCAGAGCCUUGGAUGGGAGCUGGCGCAUGGAGAAAGCCAGACAAGUCAGGGGGCCUCUUGUCCAGAGACUAAGCCACCUCCGUGCCUAGGAACAGCUGCAGUCCUUCAGUGUCGACUGCCUGAAAGCCUCUGGGGAAGCUGACACCUCUCGCCUCACCACCGCUAAAGUCCAUCAGCUCUGUCCCAGACAUCGAGCCAUCUCCUAACUGGUCCGCCUGCCUCCUCUGUGACCCUCCCACACCUCUCCUCAGAGUGGAUCAGAGGCCCUCCCUGCCCACCCCCCACAGAGGAGCACAUACUGGCCCUCGUGGUCUCCAUCGUGCUUAGCAUCACCUACGUGGCCUCACUUGUUCUGCUUAACUGACAAUUGCUGAUGAGAGUGAACAAGCCAGAGAUUCCUGAG
rnacentral:antisense_RNA from 1 species